rnacentral:rRNA from 1 species
UACGUAGGAGGCAAGCGUUGUCCGGAAUUACUGGGCGUAAAGCGCGUGUAGGUGGUGGGGACAAGUCUGCUGUGAAAGCGCCUGGCUUAACCGGGCGAGGUCGGCGGAAACUGUCCGACUCGAGGACGGUAGAGGGGGGUGGAAUUCCCGGGUGUAGUGGUGAAAUGCGUAGAGAUCGGGAGGAACACCUGUGGCGAAGGCGG